rnacentral:lncRNA from 1 species
GUGCACUACAAGCUAAAGGAGAAAAUUGAUUCAGCAGUUGUUUGCCAUCAUGUUUUUAGAUUAAUUCUUGCUGCAUAUCACUGCAGGGUUCUAGCAAUGAGCAGUUCUUACACAUUUUACUGAAUUACUGUUGGUGUGUUGUUUUUUUCCACAGGGGCCUUGGACUGAACGAUGUUUACAGCAGUCCAGAUGUGAAGCCUGUCACAGGAACAAGAAUUUCAUCUACAGUUGCUGAAUUUUUCAAAGUGAAGGAAAAAGGACAUUACAUAGAUGAGAAUCUUACCUUCUCUUGCAAAGGCCAGCUGCCAGAAUGAUGGUGCUUCUUAGGGAUAACAUUGGGACAUUUAAAUGAACUGUCUGUGAAAAUUGUAACAUAAUUUAUAAGGACAAGAAGUAAAACUGGAUAUAUUGUUGUUACUUGCAUGUCAAAUGGAAAUUGGACAUUUCGUAUCCCAUCGGAUUUCUAGCAUAUUGAUAAACUACAAGAUGAAAGGAAAGCACAAGACUGAUGGCUGAGUUGGAUGCACCUAUUCAUAAGUGAUGUUUGUUCCUAGUGGCAAGGAACUAAUAUAUAUUUACUUUGCUUAUUUGUGUUUGAGUGUGCAUGUUACUACUGCUUGUUUUGUUGACAAAUACUGCUAAAAGCUGUGGUAUUUAGAUUCCAAUAAGGUGCAAAAACUAGAUCUUUAAGGGCAACUUAAAAUACACUUUUUCUCCAGGGAUAUUAAUUAUCCAGAUUUAUGAUGUAUAUAAUUUAUAAAAGUACAUAUGUAUGAAAUGCUUUAACUACACUGUUCAUGGAAGUUUAUAAUUAUAGCAUACCAUGAAUACCUAAGUUCUUGAAUGCUAUGCUCCUGUUUUUGAUAUUGAAAACAUUUUGUUUAAGGAAAACUUCUCUUAAAAUAAAACUGAU